GACGAACGCUGGCGGCGUGCUUAACACAUGCAAGUCGUACGGUAAGGUCCUUUUGGGGGUACACGAGUGGCGAACGGGUGAGUAACACGUGAUUAACCUGCCCCCAACUUUGGGACAACGCUAGGUAACUGGUGCUAAUACUGGCUAAGUGCUCCUGCUGCAGGGAGGGGGUUGGAAAGCUCAGGCGGAUGUGGAUGGAUUCGCGGUCUGUCUGCUUGUUGGUGGGGUAGUGGCAUACUAAGGCGGCGACGGGUAGCCGGCCUGAGAGGGUGACCGGCCACAUUGGGACUGCGAUACGGCCCAGCAUCCUACGGGAGGCAGCAGUGGGGAAUAUUGCACAAUGGGCGCAAGCCUGAGGCAGCAACGCCGCGUGCGGGAUGACGGCCUUCGGGUUGUAAACCGCUUUCAGCAGGGACGAAGCUUUUUGUGACGGUACCUGAAGAAGAAGCACCGGCUAACUACGUG
rnacentral:rRNA from 1 species